rnacentral:lncRNA from 1 species
CUGUCAUGGCCCCUUCAAUACAAAAUCCAGGAUUUAAGAAGAUUAAAAUAAAAUCAAACAAAUAUUUAUUAUAUAGCAGUACAAAUUAAUGUACAAUAUACAUGUACUCUUUAGCCUUCAAGAUUUCUCCAUGCACAUGUGCUGCACAUUAAUACAAGAGAUCGUCCUCAUUCCCUCCCGACACUUUAUGGUAUUCUUUUCUGAAUCGUUGCAUAUGGAAGAUAGCAUCAGUUAAAGAAAAGGGGAUGUCGCAAAUGUAUUGUAGGAUGAACAUUUGAUGAUGAAUCUUAAUUAAUACAAAAAUGGCAAACUAUAUAUAAUAUAUAAAAUACUAUACGUUGCAAAAAGGGUCCAAUCCGACGACUGUAUAAUUUAGAAAAAGAAAAGAAAAGGCAAUGAGAUUGAGAGCACGUUAAAGAAAAGAGAAAAACAAAAUGAUUGAGUGGAGAGAUGGCAAAGAGCAAAAGGGGAGGGCCAUACUUCUGUAAGGUGUAUGUAUAUGGCGCCAUAGAAACAAAAUGGUGCCGCAUUACAAGGACCCUCCCUCCCUGUAAUAAUAAUAAUAAUAAUAAUAAUAAUAGUAUGCAUGCAGAUGCAGGAUGCAGAAACGAGAGAGACUGAUUGAUUGAACCAACAGGCUCAGGCUCAGGCUCAGGAUUUUCUUACGC